rnacentral:lncRNA from 1 species
GGACGUAUUAGAGCUAUAUUUGACAAAUGAAAGAGUAUGGGAAGGCAUUGAGUAGAUUUUUCAGUUAUUUUACUUAAAGCUGUGGUUGAACUUUAUUUUGGAGAUGUUCUAAUAAUUUAACUUCUUCUCCAUCUUUCUUUUCUUCACUUCGGUUUGUGUACUAAUGACCGUUGGAAUCAAGAGAAGGCAGCAAACUCAC